AUCGAUAUGUUCUUGUUAAUUCUAUUAGUAAUAUUUUAUUUUUUAUUUUUAAUCAAAGAUUUAAUUUAAUCACAAGUACAAUCAGCAAGUUCUGCAAGUCUAAUCUUCUGUAAAAUUGAAUUACAUUUGACUUAUCAAACGUUAUCUUUGCUAUAUCACUUAAGAAAGUUUUCAAUUAAUAAAAAGAUAGUAUGUAACCACAAA
rnacentral:lncRNA from 1 species